rnacentral:lncRNA from 1 species
AAUGACUCGUGGCCACUAACUGCGUGGGCACAGGCAGUGGACCACGACUUGCAAGAUCUGAGCUCAUUUCCUGCACCAAGCCACAGAUUUGAUGUAUGACUUCAGGAAGUUACUUCAGCUCAUCCAGGCAUCACUUCCCAACUUGUAUGUAGCUCUCAGCUUCAGUGGAAUUUGCUACAGUAACCCCACUUAGAUGUGAAGGUCUGACAGUAGAAGUCAUGAUGAAGACACUAUUGUUACCCAGAUUAUCAUUUGGAGAAAAAAAUAUCUCAGUAAUGACUGUGUAAAAUUUCAAUCAGUUAAUCAUCAAAAAGCAGAGUUCAGCUUGGUGCAACACAGCAUGCUUGGUGCAACCACUGUUGAUUUCACUGGAAGCUGUUACAAAUCUGGAAAUCGUGUCCCCCUGAUUUUCUCUCACUUAAAUCCUAGAAGUCUAUACCAGUGACUACAACGUGGGCUGCUAACAAUUUAGCAUUAAUGUUUCUGGCCCUCCUUGCUAGGAGCAAUUAGAUUAAAAUGCUGAAAACUUUUCCAAGGGAAUUAAGGUGUCAGCACUAAGCAGCAAUUCACAAGAAUUGCACUAAAAAGAAGGCAGUUGGGGUUUUCUUACUUGCAGUAGAAAAGCAGACAAGUGACAAUGCAGUGGAAGAAGGAAGACAUUUGGGGCCAUGUGACACCGAGACCAAGUGGAAGAAAUGUCUGGAACAGUGGGCCAAGCUGGUGGUGCUGUGACACUGGGAGCCCCAACAAAGACUGCAUUCUUCACACAUGCAGUAUGUACAUCGGAGAUGGCCCAUCCAUGCUCCUGUGGCUGCUGGUGACAGGAAAAGAGCAGUCCCUCAGCAGGACCGUCCCAAGUACAUCCUCCUGUUGGUGUCUACAGCAAAGUGCAUGCAUGCGGGUGGAGAAACCUUUUGCAUGCUGAAGAUAUUUGUGCUGAAGGGAAGCAGAGAGGAUUCAUAGCUAACUAUUUCUAACAGCAACUAAAUUUUGAGGAAUACUUUUCAUCAAUGCCUUUCAUAUGACACCACAGAUGAAGCUGUAGACAUCUCUUAUUUUACAGAUGUGAAAAAUUACAUGUAGAAAAAUUUGUGAUAGCUCUGUGAUCAAGGUGGAAUAAGAACAGAGCUCUUCUGAAACCUACUGCAUGGGCAAUCCCACUGUCCCACUGGUGGGACAAAGACAUUAUUUAAGCAUUUAGCAUCAUAAAACAUCUCUUGAAAGAGUGAAAAAAAAUGUUGCUUACAUUUAAAAAAAAUGCCAGAUUAUUUGGGAUAUCAUAGUUCUGGUUAAAUCCAGCGUGAGAAAUAUUUAAGAGGCCAGACUUUGUGAAAGCCCUUACAUUCAUUCGCUGAAUAAAAUUAUAUUGUUAUCAGAUAUUCCA